rnacentral:rRNA from 1 species
GUGUCAGCCGCCGCGGUAAUACAGAGACUGCAAGCGUUAUUCGGAUUCACUGGGCGUAAAGGGUGCGCAGGUGGCCAAGUGUGUCAGGUGUGAAAUCCCGGGGCUUAACUCCGGAACUGCGCCUGAAACUGCUUGGCUAGAGCAUUGGAGAGGGAAGUGGAAUUCACGGUGUAGCAGUGAAAUGCGUAGAUAUCGUGAGGAACACCAGAGGCGAAGGCGACUUCCUGGACAAUUGCUGACACUCAGGCACGAAAGCGUGGGUAGCCAAAGGGAUUAGAAACCCCCGUAGUCC